GCCGGCGGAGCCAGGGCCCGGCCCGCACCUGCGGAGCGCGGCGGAGCCCCCGCCCCGGGGCGGGAGGCGGCGGCGGGGGGACCCGUGCACUGGAGGUGUCGGUGCGAGUAUUUAGGGUGGUGAGAGCCUGGCCCAGGUUGGCCAGAGAGGUGGUGGAUGAACCAUCCCUGGAGGCAUCCCAGGCUGGACGGGGCUCUGAGCAACCUGAGCUGGUGAAGAUGUCCCUGCUCAUGGCAGGGGUUGGACUAGAUGAUCUUUAAAGGUCCCUUCAACCCAAACCAUUCUGUGAUUUCUUUUGGGACGAGGCAUUUGGCAGAACACAAGCUCAGCAAAAUACUGCCCGGCUGAAUGCGGCCUUGGGUCCUCUGCACUAUUCAAAGACACAUCUGCUUGGCUUCACUUGGGAAGUGGCCUUUAGAAGCAAUCGGCUCCAACAAUAACAUUUUCCAUCCCUCCCAGCUGAACUGCGCGCAGCACGUAGGCUUCUUCUGCGAGCCAGCGUAAUUAGCGAACGAGGAAACUCUGUGACAGCUAGAAGGAAGAUUUAGAACUCAGUGCAAAAUAGAGCCUAAACAUUAAUCUUGACAUUAUGUAAGCAGGCAACGCCGAUGUCAUCAGGAAUGAAUCUGAGGCUAAAUUUCAUGCACGCAUGCUGCUGGGGAUGGCGAGUGGGAGAAAAGGGCAUGUGUGCCCUGACAGGCACAGGAGGCUUUAGCUGUGUGACCCGGCAGCGCUUCAGAUGUCCUGCCCCUCUGCACGGCCCAAGACACCAAAUAAAUGUUGAGGAGGACAAUCAGUAUCUCAUGUAAUAAAGGGGAAAGGAUGUAAGUAAGCAGAAGCAGCAGGAGAAAAUUUAACAAGGGAGCAGCUGCUGCCAGUGUAGUGAGGACUGAUCUCAACAAAAGUGGCUUCAUACGCAGUGUGUAUAAAAUUAGGCAGGAGCGACCGCUAUGAGGAGGAUACAAGCAGGAAAGGGGACUUGGUGAUAUGAAGGGGCUUUUGCGUCAGGCUUCCAUCCCACUCAGUGUUUGCUUUUCUUAUCACAAAUCACGGAUAGCAAUAAAACACUUGCAAAGUCCUUUUCCAGAACUUUGGGAAUCAAGUUCGAAAAGGUUUUCUUAUGGUUUCCCAGCUGAAUAUUUCAGUAAGAAAGACUGCAGCGAGAUUGAUUCCGCUCCCGUGGCAGCCUCAUGCAGUGCAGGCUUGGGCUCCAAGAACCGCAUGAAGGUUGCUUUCUGUCUGCUUCUGCAGCUCGGUCCAAACCCAGCGGUUUUUACCUCUCAUCCUGUGCUUUCCAACAGAUGAGUUGGCUGUGGUGCGUUACCAGCAUGCGUGGAAGCCAGAGCAUAAACCUGUUUUCCACAGAUAGUAUUUUCAGCAACGUUUAAAUGUAAAGGCUGGCCAGACGUCCCUGCGCUGGUGACAGCGUAAAAAACCUUUGUCAGAAGGGAAGAAGACGGAAAUCGCUAUAAAGCUUUGAAGAGCUGUGCUUGAGUCAUUGUGGACAGAAAACUCUUUCAGUUAAAUUCUGCACUGAUUUGUGUUUUUGUCUCGGAUGUCAGCACCUUUGCUCCCCACUGACAAGGAGCCUUCCUUAUGGAGACGGAAAGUGGAAAAAAGCUAACGAUCCCCGUGAUCCUUCUCAAAUUAGACUGGGGUCCAAGUAAUUAAACCAUUUAGAUGUUACAGUGCUAAGCACUGGGGAUAGACACUAUUUCCUUCCCUUCCAGUGCACAGGAUUUGGUUGCAUUCUGUGCAGCCUAACGCUUCGCUAGCUGCUCCAGUUUGUUGUUAUUCAAGUCAUACGCACCACGGUUGCUAGUAAUUUCAGAAGCAUCCUUUUCGCGAUGACCUACAACUCUGCGCUGUUCUGAGCACCUGAGUAAUCCCAGUUAUUUGUGGUUUUGUCCUUCUGCUUCUCUCACCAGGUAAGGGACUCAGCCAGGGACAGGCACAGAGGCGGAAUGUCCCAGUCGCGGGCUGAUGUCCCAGCUGCGCUGGGUACCACGUACUCGCAGGGGCAUCUUGGCUCUGCUGAAGGUCUCUAACAGAAGAAAACUUCUGGUUUCAGAAGCCACGCUCCAGUUUCAGGGGAAAAUCCUGAAAUUCACAGAAUCUAAAUAACAGCCAGCAGAAUUUUAACCAAUAUUUCAUAGCCAGGGAACAAGCACAUCUCUGUAAUACGAGCGGUGUGUUCUAGGUCAAGGAGUAUCUGAAUUAAGGAGACGUGAUACUCUAAACAAGUGAAGCAUCACUGUGCAGACAGGGUUGUAAUGAGGAGCGUAGUAUUUACUACAUUUGGCAUACAAUGGGGUUUGCACCAAACCUAAAAAUCCUCCUUUUAUUUCACCGGUUAUUUGCUGCUGCCUCCCUCCCCACCUUGGGAGAGCGCACGACUGCCGAGCCCCAGUCUGGGUGCGAUGGAAACAGUCGACGGAUAAAAUAAAUAGACCAUGAAAUACAUAUAUAUUUCAGCCUGACAGUUCACUCCCCCGAUACACCCCAUAAAAACCCAGGGUAAAACGCUGCAAGCUUGUUCAGUAGCACAAGCCCCACAACAAAUACAACGGCCUCUCCCAGUAAGUACCUCAAAAAAGAGAAUGCCUAAAUGCAGUUUGCUUGGCAAUAGCAGGUACCAGGAGUCGGGUAUGGGAUGUCUGAGCUGCAUCAAACACAAACGUUGGUGGAGAUGCUGCUUUUUAGGGUUGAUGUGCUAAAAGCCAUCGUCCAUCUUUACCAGUUGCAAGCAGUUCAUGUGUAAUAUCACUGGAGUUGCAUAGACUACCACUGAAAACACCUGACUGAGAAGAUGAGAUCUCGCUUGCAUCCGAUCUUGAGGUCGAAUUGCUUCGGGAGAAAGGGAGAGACAUCAUUUCCAGGCUCGGGAGCACACUGGCUAACACCUCCCUUCCCCUUCCAGGCAUCUCCUGGACUUUGGCAUCGGGCUGACAACACCAGGUGCAAAGCUCACUGGCACCGAGAGAAUUUCAUCCCUUGGCUUGUUGUGGAUCAACACGGGAACAGAAACCCUUUCCGUUCUGCCUACGUCUUAUGCAAAACUACACCCAGAUCCAGAAAGGUAACGCCGGCUCCGCAGCGUCAUCCAGCCUGAACGCGGCACCGCGGGAAAAGUCUGUGGGCUCAACUGCUGUUGAGAUCCAUGGAAGAUGUUAGUUUUACUACCCACAAACCUCACAUUUGAGAGUGAAAUCACAUACAGAGUCUUUGGAUAGCAAAAUAGGAGUGGAACGUAUUUCGAAGGCUGGUUUUAUUCUCCUGUUGCAGCUGAAACCAGGAGUAACCAUUGUGUAGAGAUGAUGGUACCAGCCUCCAGGAAGCACUCCCCAAACCACAAGCCAAGACUCACUCCUCCCAACUCACUGCUUAUUCAUCUGCCUCUUACUUUUUAAGAGGUUUUCCACUGAAAAGCAUCAACAUUUAGAGAUCACAGCUCCAGGAAGAACCACUAGCAAGGUGAACUGCCCAAAUCAAGUACCUUCUUUGACAUUUUCAUUUCCAAAUCCUACUCACCAGUAAAGAGCUGUUGCUUAAGUUGGUCUCAGACCUGUUACCUGGACUUCAUUAUUUAAAACAUACCAGGUUUUAAUAUAAUAAAAUACCAUAUAUAUAUAAAAAAUAGUGAAUUACUAUCAUUGCUUCAAAAUGCCUUGCUAAAAACAUUAAUUGAAAGUGGUUGAUCAUACAAUUGCAUGAUACACUUACACGAUUUCUGAUGCUGAAAUUUAUCUGUAAUCAUUUUAGGAAGCUUAUUUUUAGCUUUACAACUGAUAUAAACAUAUUGCCUAGCGAACAAAAUAAUAAUAAUCAAUCAUACAAAGAGGAGGAAACAAUAUUUGCCCUGAACCUUACAAGGAGUGUCAAUAGUUAAAUUCCUCCUAGUUGAUUAAAAGAAAAUCCAUUACAGCCAUAAAUUUAUUUUCAUUCCAUGAUUAAAUACAUAUCAUGCCUCCAUUAGCAAAAAUUACAGAUGGGAAUAAAACAGAUGCCCUAAACACAUCCUGCCUGCAUACUUGCCAAUUAAAAUUUGCUUGUAUUAACUCCACCUGAUGCCAAAUUUCCUACAAAAAUGUCGUAGUCUUUUUAUUGAGGUUGUUAUCAGUGGUGUGCUUUGAAUUCUUUGUACUACUCCAUCAAAAAACCAUCCUGGCUGAAUUACCACUCACAUUUCACUGCUGGAAGCCAAUUGUACUGUUACCCAAAUUAUAACAAGACCGUGCUUUUGACACUUGAGUUAGGAACCCAAGCCUGACUUAAUAUGCAAAGAGCUGUUCACUGGAACUAAACUUUCUUACCACUCUGAAAGACCAUUCUGCCAAUGGAACCGGUACAUCCCCCCCAAAAAAGGGAAGAAUUUAGGAUUCCUACCUUGAAGACAUCACCAGAUGGAUCACAGAGGGAGGACUCGCCACUGUGCAAAUAAUGUCUUAUUUCCUGUCCUGGGAAAGGACCAGAAGUAUUUCUCAACCCUUAAUAAUCUCCUGAACCCUGGGAACAAGGAGAAGCCAGGAAACUAGAAGGAAUUCUCUAAUAAGCAAACAUGACCUUACCUGUGAAACAAAACCUGAUUGCCUAAUAGGGCCUCCUCAAUGUAUGAAAGAACAAGUUUAUUGUCACCUGCCAAUGUGUUUGUCAAGGCAUAAAGAGACUUCAUUUCCCUAUCUUUCAAGCAAUAGUAGUAUUCUGAAAAUACAAAAUAACAGAAUAAAUGAAGGCAAAGAAAUUAAGAAAAAGGAUCGUACACAGAAGUUUAAACAAAAAAGAAAAUUAAAAGGAAUAAGGAAUGAAUAGUUAUGCUUUGAAUUCUUUUGGAUUUAUGCAGCUAAAAUCUGUCCUGAGAAAUUCACUGGAAAACACACAGUCAUUGCUGGCUCGUAAGACAUUACUAUAUAGCAAAUUAAUAAUGAAGGAGGCAUAUGUCACAUGCUAGUGAGACUGUAACAUCACAUCUUUAUGUAUUUAUGAGAUCAGUGAAAAUAACUGACAAAGCAUGCACACAUUCAGGCAAGUGAGAUUUUUAAAAGCAUUCCCUCUGUGGGAAAAGAGUUGAGCUAUUUCGGUGGAGACAGAACUCUAUGAGGCUGAGAACCUCUGAAAAUCUGAAUUUCAAGCACAAACUGGUCCUCUUUUUGCAAUGCUACAGCUUUUACGGCUCCUUAACACUUACAUUGAUGUACCUAAGAAAAAAACAGAAGAUGCAGCAUUCCCACUGCAAAAGCUUGUUCCUUAUUACACCGCACAACAGAGAAGUGAGACUUCUGCUUUGUAGAAAAGCUUUACCUCUAUCAGUCACAGAUCACCAAUUCAGAAAUUAAAUCUUUCCAUUCCAAAUGCAAACAUCAUUCAGUUAUAUUAGGUUCAUAGUCAGAAUGCCUUAUUUCUUUCUCACUUAGAAACUCGCAGCUUCCCUAGAACAAGUGAGGUUGUAGCGAGGACAAAAUUUACAGGCACGCUGUGCAAAGCUGAAAUGUUUCUAGGGCAAUGUUUUAUAGUCCCUUCGAGUUCCAUACAAAGUAUUUGACUGUGUACUCAAAGAGCAUUUAUUUACACACGUGUCUGAGGUUUUCUAUCAGGUUUAAAGUUCAGACUUUUCUCAACUAAUCUAAUUUGUCCAAGAUGGAUGGCCUCACUUUUUUCCUUUGGAAAACCAAUGCUGUUACACUGUUUCCAAUUCUUCCUCCAAAGCAAAACUUGGGUGUUGGCAGCUCCUCCAGAAUUUCAAACCCUGCCAGACAGAAAUUAAAAUGCUUUUAUUAGAAGGAAGUAAUUUUAUUCUCCUCUUGGAUAGCCCGUUGCAAACCAUUCUCUAUUUGGCUGGAAAAAUUGCAAGUCAGUUACUCUGUAAGUUUAUAGGACUGUAUUGUUACACUGCAGCGCUGCUUUAUACAGCUGAAACCCUCCCAUGGAUAAUAAAAAUCUUAGCUGGCUGACUCACACAAAUUAAAGGCAGAAAAGAUGAUAACUUGCCAGUAACUUUAGCUCCCCAGAAGGGACGGUUGUUCUAGAUCCACACUGAGUUUCAAGCCUCAGGCAUGAGAUUCAGAACCCAACCUGCAUGUAAAAAACACCCUUUUGAGUGGACCAGAAAGGUCGCUGAGGAGGUGACAUAAAAGGUCAUGGUCACAGAUUGGCCAGUGUCCCCUAAACAUGGGUAACGGAGUCACCCUGAUUUCAAAGCAAUCAGAUACGUGAACUGGAUCUGGGAAAAAAGGACCAAAAGAGAAAAAUUAUCACCCAGGUAUACAUUUUCCCAGUGUAAUUAGACUAAAAUCCUUGUCCUCCAAAGUACUGAUAGGACAAAACCUGUCCUCCCCUGGCUCGUUGGCACUGGCAAACACAGAAAAGCUGUAAUUCCUGAGGAAAACGGAGGGAAGAUAAACUGAAGCAUUUACUAGUCACGUUACCUUGUCUAAUCCUGAUCUGAGAAAAUCAAGACUCAUUAAAAUUCAUUUGCCGCAUCCUUAAACAACCAUAAUUUGGCAGAUGCUUCUGUUCAACCGCUUACCUUCUCUGAACUCGUUCGACAGCUCCUCCUUGGUCCAGUUGCAAGAUGUUAUGAGGAAAAAGCCCCCUGGUUUCAAUACGCUGCAGAGAGAUCGCACGUACUGCUUCCUCUUCCCCGCCGCGUUAUCAGGAUUAAGGCUGAUGGCAUCAAAAGUCCCCUUGUCAAUACAAAUCUCAAAUCCUGACAGCUCAGCUGAAGGAGCCAGGAAGUCUUCUACCUAAACCAGAAGUCUACAACUGUGAAAACAAUCUGCUACUCCGAAGCUCCCGAAUCUUUAAUGCAAAUGAAUACUUUAAAAUAAAAAGCCUCAAACUUGACAAUAGUUGUGCUUAGGGAAGGGUAACUCACAGGCUUUUCACUUAUAAUGACAUGGCAGCUUCGUUCUUUUCUAUGUAUUAUGUGAAGAUCUAUUUUUUGUAAAGCCCAUGUAUAUACCUGUGUAUCUAAAGCUUAAACUAACACACUUGCAGACCAUUCUUUAAAUCAUUAUUUGUACUUUGAUCCCUGGCUUCCUAGGUGCUGUGUGCCGGGCACUGUACAAACACAGCAGAACAGACAGUGCCUGCCAGAGAGAGGUGACAAUUGACAUCCAAAACAGAGACAUCAGAUGGGUACAGAGCUGGAAGAUAAAACAGCAGCGCAGGGAGAGAGCUCAGAAUGAGAAUCACAGAAUGGCGGAGGUUGGAUCUCUGGGGGUCCUCUGGUUCUACCCCCUGCUCCAGCUGCUCAUGGGGAUUCGACCACUGAAGGAUCUCAUCCUCUUGCAUCAAAUCGGAAAUUCCGAAUGGUGCAGCUGAAAUGCAGGACUCGCCAAAUGGCAAACCGCCAUUCUGCUGCCUGCUAGAAGCAGGGAAAUCACAUUAGACCUAACGACUGUUACAAACAGGGAAAAAAAAAAGACCAAAAAUCGUCUUGGAAAUACAGAUUUAUUUGGUUGGAGGCCUCUCACGAAUGUCAAAAGACAUCAUCAUUAUACUGAGUACCUCUGAAUAUCAAUUAGGUCAUUUAAUCUUGGGUUCAAUUGCUUUCUACUUCCUCAGUAAACUUUCUCUCAAAACUUACCUUUAAUUUAAUGUUAGACAUCCCUUCUUUCUCUCUUAUUUUCUCUGAAAGUUCUAUUGCAGAAGGAGAGUAAUCAAUCCCUGUGAGAUUUGUGUAGCCAGACUUUGCCUAGGCCAAAGCAGAGAAUCUUAAUUAGUGCUAGCAAUUCUUUUAUCCAAUAAGUGUAUUCCUUAUCUAUAAUCCAUCUAAUCUAUGACAGAAAAAAACCCAACCUUUUUACUCAUUUUCAUUCCUGUUACUAUUACAAAAGCUAAACAGCUGGGGGAAUGAGCUGAAAUAAUUCAAUUCUGCCUAAUACCUCAUAAAAAAAUCGUUGACUGAAAGCUGGUUUAUGUCAACAAGUGGAAAACUAAGCAGAACUGUGAAAAGUAAUACCCCGGAGGGGAACAGGCCCUCUUAUCUACAGCAAAAGUAACCUAGAAACCAGGAAUUUAGAGUGAUGAGAACAUGUGCCAAUCCCAGAGGCUCCAAAAUAAGAAAACCUCUCUGACACUUACAUAACAUUUGAGAUUGAGCAAUUAUUUGGUUUAUAACUCAAAGUGUACAAGCAAAAAUAAGUAAUACAUUUUACUAGUACAGAAAUCCACUGUAAAGUCUUAUGUGUUUCUAAUUGUUCAUGCUAAUGUCUGUUUGAAUGCAAUUAUUUGCAUGCUACGAGGUCUUCGUAUCAGCAAUUUUCAGGCAGGUUAUGCACCACAUAAAAGAGCAGAUAACACCAACCCAGCUCAGCAGAUUCGGGCAGUCAGAUCCCAGCAGCCCUUCUGCAAAGCAGGCGGGCACAUCGCCACCAGCCAGAGUUGGCACAUGGGAGGGGGACAGUGACACGUUUUCACUGCGAGGUAGAAGCUGAAGUGACCAGAUUUGGGUAUCACGUGUGGCUAAAUCCAAACCUAAGAGGAAGAGCUAUGAUCUUAUGGGCAGCUGCAGGCAGUAAGAGCAGAGAGGGAAGACGCUUGGGUUUGUUUUGAACAAUACGUGGACUUUAAUGAGCAUUAAGCAAUUGGUCGCAGACCUACUUGUUCCAAAGGCCGACACCUCAACAGCAAGAAAAGCUGUGAGAUUGUUUUUUUAAAUGGUCCUUCCCCCUUCCAGCAGCCUUUCAGCCCGUGUGAGCUCAGCGCGAGGCAGCUGUUCUUAAUUGAGGACUAAUUUCAGCUAAACACAAAGACUGUGUUGUUUGCGUUUGAUGAAGAACAGCGUAUUGCUCAGGCUUCUGCCCACGUUCCUCCCCAGAGCAAACCAAGCUUCCUGAAAUGCCUGUGCUGAAGGCUUGGGGGUGGAAGAGGAGUUCCCACAACAGCUCCUCUGUUUGGAAAGGAAGAGCUUGAGUCACUUCAGGGAGUUCCCAUUCACUCCUAAAGAAAGUUGAAAGGAUAAACAACAUUAAAUGCUGCUAAACCUGUAGGGCCUGACUACGUAAGGACAAGCAAAGAUCAUUCACUCAAGUGGCAAACGUGACCGUGCUGCAUCCUGCAAUUGGACUCCUGUCCUGAAGGCGAUAUUUAUAAGCACUCUGCUGCUGCUUCUUGAAAAAGCGGAUUAAAUAGCAGAAGGUAUUGUGCAAUGUUAUCAGUGCUGCCCCAUAUUUGGCCCUCUGGUGCUGCUAGUAGACAUCAGCACUUGGGGGGGUGAGUAUUCUUUAUUUCAGAGAGGUUUUUCAAUAUUGGUGGCUCCCACAAUGCUAGGGAAAAAAUAAAAAAAAAGAUGGCCAGAGCUCUAUGGAGCAGCAACAAUUCCUUAGAAGAGCUGGAAUUUUUGGAAUUAUGUCAUCAAUGCAGCCUACCAGAUUCCUGAAGUUACCAGGGGUAGGACCCUGCUCUAGUGCAGAUAAAACCAUUAAGGGCUCCCAUUUGUGCAUCUGAGAUCCUCUCAAGAAGCAGCAAGAGAGGAAACCUCCAGCAGUGUUUCUCCUGGAGCUCACAGACGGGCAGAUCUCCGCACGGUGUGAGCAGAAGACAUUUAGCAGCGUGCGGGAAGUUCUGCCUCCUGGUGUGGCCAGUUUACACAGGAUACAGCAGUCUUGGUUUCACUUGAUUUGUUAACCUGUUUUUCCAAUGGCUAUUCUGCCUCCUAUUUGUGCGAUAUUCCCACUAGAACUGACAAAGUCUCUCACUUAGCUGCAUUUCAGAGUAAUUUUCUUACUAAACUUCCAUUUACUAUUCUUUGCUGCUACUGGCACACCAGGGCCCAGUAUUCCCCAAUAAACUGUAGCCUCUGACACCUCUUCCUGUUCCAAUGAUGGUCGGUUACGUCCCCCCAGCAGCCACAUUUUACAGAGGUGCUACUGAUGUCCUAAACGAAGUCUGACUUUUUCAGCGUUGCCAUUUCUGUCACGUUAUCAAGUCCAACUCCAGUGGCCUGACUAUUCUCUGGCAGCUGAUGCGCUUGCCUAAAGAAUCCUAACUUGAUUUUCAAAGCCUAGCAGAUAACACACAAAAAAUUCUUUUACAUCAACAUGAACUGUUUAGCAACAAUAAAGAAUUUAAUUUUUGAAGUUACUUUUCAAACGGGAACUGGACUGAAAAUGUCCUAUUAAAGCAACCACAGUACUUUGAGAUGCUUAAUGUAAGGGGGGAGGGUGUUCUUAUGGCAGUUUUAUCGUUUUAUAAAGCUAACAGCUGCCAUUUUCCCAUUACGGAAUGAAAAUCUAUUUCAGAUUUGUAAGUGGGACAACUAUAAAACUAAAGUCUUAUCAAAUUUUUCAGUUGGAUGAUUCGACAGUGAUAGAGCUAGUUAGCAUUGCAUUUAACAAUCAUUAUUAUCAGGCCAAUUUCCUCUUAAUGAAAUGAGCAUUUUCUACUUUUGAUAUCAUUUCUCCUUUGCUGCAGUGUAGCAGCUGGUUGCCGUAAAGGAUUUAAACUCUUCUAAAAUCAAAGUCCAUGUUAAAAAACAUCCUGUUAACAAACCCGACUUUGAUAUCUCGUAUCACUGCAUAAUAACAACAUUCUAACACUUCAGAACUUAUCUGGUGAGGGGUUUCCACCCUGACAGAGACAGACACUUCUUGAAGUGUUAACAAACUUUUAAAGUCAUUCACAUAAAAACCUUGGUUUUAACACUUAUUAUAUCAAUAAUGAGUGUUAUUAUCAGAACUGAAUGCAGAGAAAGCAUCUGGUUUUGCACAUGAGAGUAUUUUGUGUAUUAGCCAACCUCAUUUCCUUAUUGGGGGCUGUUUUACACAACAGUGGGAAGAAAUGCAUUCCUAAAUGCAUUUCUAAAUGCAGGAAAACAAAAAGGUAAAGUUAAAUUAAGGGAUAUUCAGGCUGAUUGAUUUAAAGAAAUACUGUAAAUUUUGAAAUGUGAAGUACUGACACUCCGGGCAGCACCAAGAAAUACGAAGUUUGACCAUGUCUAGCAAAAAACAAGUAGCUAUUUCCAUUUGGCAGAACAAGAUACAGGUUCUGUUCCGAGGUCUGCAGCCCCAGUAGCAUCACUGGUUCCAGCAGUAACCAGUAUUCCUCUGAUGGGAAAAAAACAUAAUAUAACUUUAAUUUAGGUCGCUUGCUUUUUGUCUUUCACAGAAGUUACAGCUUGCCCUCAUUACUAUUGUCACUUGUGAGAACUGUAUAUAAACUACUCUGUUUGGAGCACUGAUCCUGCAUCAAAAGCACAAACUUUGCAAUAUACCAACCAGUUCAACCAGUAAAACACCAUUUCCAGUUCCAAUGUCAAGCAAGGAGCUGUCAAGGGGCACCUUUUGUUUUUCCAGCCAUCUGAUUAUGCGAACCAUGCUUUCCUCUCCAAACCUAUGAAAAAUAAGGGCUCCUGUAAUUAAGAUAGCAAAUUUAUUCCAUCGCUCCCUCUCUCUACAGUUUCUGGAAAGCACCAGGAUAGCAAAUGCCAUAGCUCACACUCCAUGCUUGCUUUGUUUAAAUUAAAAUUAAUCAAAUGGCUUUAAAAUUCACCAAAACACCAACUCUGGGAGGUAAAGCCCUCCACAUAUUAAAAUACUCGGCAGCACCUUCAACUUACAUAGCUGAAGCUGAACUCAGGAUAAAAAGCACAUUUGUUAGUAACAUACACAACUACCAGCUCAUGUUCCGUGUAGUGACAGCUGUCCAAGUGGAACUAAAAAAAAUUGCAUUGCAAAAUUGGGCAAAACAGGAACUGAUGGCUUCAAGAUUAAAAUUUCCCAUCAUUUUGCCAACAUCGAGAAUAAGUCAGUAACCCACUGCAUUGCUAGCUGUGUUUUUCCAAUGUCUUUUUUUUUUAAAUAAAGAAAUAAUAGAAACA